GUGGGUGCUCCAGCACCUGCGGUAAGUUUUGGACUCCCACGAGUCCGUCAUUAUCAUAUUCCACGGAUCCCACCCCCAUAGGGGUCCCUCACUCACGCAAUAGGAACUAUGUCGGAGAGGGAUAUGGUGUGUGUGUGGCUUCGGCCUUCACGGUGCAGAGGGGGCGCUGCUUCCGUUGAGUUCCGACGGGCUGGUGCCGGAGCAGUCGCUGAGCACGGGCUUUUCGUGUAUGGCCAAGCCUCGCGCCGCCUCACGUCUGCGGCGCUCCAGGCGGAUUACGCCGGCUCUCGCUUGCACACCAUGAGCUUCAACGAUUUGGGAAAAGGCGGAAGUCCUGCGCACGUGGAGAUUCUGAUCGCGGAUGGUUCCAAUCAUGAUGCUGCUGCGGGAGGUGGUGCAGGUGUCCGAGGAGUGCACCCAUCGCCUCGAGGGCCCCGCCCGCGCCCGCUGCCGGGAGACGAAGCGGGUGCUGGCGUGGGGCGAGUGGCGGCGGGUCUGGGAGGACAUGGAUGCUGCCGUCUCUGAGGAGCUCCAUCGCGGACCGGCACACCCACGGAGGAGGAUCCGCGGCCGCGCUUCCGUCUCUCCCCUUCCGUGCUCGACCCGUGGCAUGCACGCAAGGCGUCGCCGCAGGGCGGAAACAGCGUGUGCCGGCUCAUUCUAGUGGCGGCAUCGACGGCGGAGCGGACGGAUGCGCCGCAGGUGCGCUGCUGGAGGUGUGAUGGCGCUGCUUGGCAGACACCUCCUGUUGCUUUCGCUACUCGGCGGCCUCACACCCCCGCACUGACGGCGUGCAGCUGCAGGUGGCACCUCAUCUGGGGACUGGCUCGUUGGCGUGCCUCGUGCAGCGGACAAGCGACUACCAGCGCCGCCCCAUGCCGCUGUGGGAGCUGCUGCGUGCGCGACCCGACCGGCGUACCGCCCCCACAGAGCCCGGCGAUCGUGCCGGAGGAAGGUGGCGCAGCGCUCAGGGCAGCCGACAUGAUUGAGCGCUGCAGCUGCCGCAGCUGCGUGGCCGGCUGCGUCCACUCCGUGAUGGGUGAGAAAGAGGGUCUGAUGAGGAGACGGCUCAUGCUGUGGCCGCGGAGGGAUACAUGGCUGGUGUCUAUCUGGACUGCUCGCCGUGGCUGUGCGUGCUGUGCAACGUUGGUGGAGUGGCGGACCGGAAAGCGUUACGCCCUGAAGCGAUGCAAGCGGUGGCAGCACGAUUGGCUGGUGGCCCCCCCCCCUGCAACGCCGCGCGACAUGCCAGGGAUGUGUGAGUCGAUGUGUGGGCAGGCCGUAUGCAGAUUGCAGGCACGUGUCGUGCCGUAAAGCAGGCAGCGGGGCCGGUGAUUCAGGCGGCAUGCCGGUUGAAGGUCACUGUCAACCGUGACGAAGCUGAGGUCGCCCCACCUCCCCUCCUCCUCAGGCAUGCGUUUGCAAGGGUUGUUCACGACAGCGAGGCGGGCGAUGUGUGUAAUGGAGGAAAACCUAUCGGGGAGCGGCGCGCGGCGUCAGCUAGGCACGUGGCAAUUGAGUAACCCCAGCGUUCUUGCGAUGUCUGCGGCUCAGGGCCGGAGUCGUCGUGAUGGCUCCUGCUCAAGGAGUGUGAUGGUUUCUCGCAGGGGCGGGGCGGCUGUCCUGCAAUGCAUCGCGUUUUAUUGCUGGGUGGACGAUCGCUGGCCGCACUGUCCUUGGAGCGCCCAGUGUGCGUUGGACAUGCGGCACAGGUGGGCCGCAGCGAGCACAACAUGGCGCAGCAGGCCGCCGACAAUGACCGGUACAGUGUACGGCCUCUGCACCGACGCGACAUUGGGCAAACGGGGAGCCGCGUGCAUGAAGCGGGCGGCAGAGCAAGCCGGCUUCACGGACAUGCGAUGAGGACACAGCCCCGCCGACCGCGUAGGUGCGGAAGCGCACCGAGAGGUGCCUUCGCGCUCUUUGUGUGGAACUGCAAGGGCCGCCUGAUGCAUCGGCGCACCGAAACAAGGAGCUCUCCGUCAAGCCGGUGGAAGGUGUGCCGCGACGCUGUGGCGCUGGCGUGUGCGACCGUCGCCUGUGCCAUCUCACCAUGGUGGGGUGACAUCGAGCCGCUCAGCAUGAGUCCCGCUGGGGUGCGGCGCCUCGGCUUGCGCAUGGUCCCCGUGCUCCGCCGCGAGCAGGCAUUCGCGUAGACGCCGCACACUACCGACCCUGCUAGCCUCCACCACUUGGUCGUCAUAUCACUUCAACGGAGGGCGCCGCCGCGGAGGAGCUCUUUACCGCGGUGCAUGAAUGUCGCGUCACGGCGGAAAAGCGCGCGGAUGAGAACCUGCUGAGGUCCGUGCGGCAGCCGCAGGCGACGUGUGCCGGCCGCCCGCAGCCUCGUUCCCCGCCGCCGGAGAGCGCCUGCGCUGAGGAGUGCGGCACUGGAGGGCGGUGUGCUGCUCAUAUGCGGCGAGCUUCGUUUCGUUCCCGUUUCGCGGUGCAGAGCUGCUGCGGUGCAGCCCCUGUGUGCGCGUGCCUGUCCGCGGUGUCUAUCCCUGCUGUAUGCGGUGGACGUGGCGAGCGGUGACGGCGUGGCGCAGGUGGUGUCGGCGGUUUGUGGCCGCGCUGGCAGCGGUGGUGUGCCGCGCGUGACGGCCGCUGUGUCCUCUCGCACUGCUGACACCGAUGCGCCUUCUACUCUCUGGACGUAUGGAGGGGGGGAUGUGCGAGCGGCGGCGGCGGCGCGGAGUGAGCUGUGCUGCCGCCCUCCUGCACACACGUGCACAGCGGCCCCUCGCCCCCCCCCUCCCCCUCCUCUGCACGCGCAUCACAGGCGCACCCACGACAACGCGGCAGAGGGGGUGCAGCGCCGAGAAGCAGCGGACGGCAGGCCUUGCAGCUUCGGCUCUCUGCAUACUCGCUCCGUCGUCCCUGGCCCUCGCUGCCGCUGCGGCACGCCUCGCUUCCGCCGGCCCCCUCUCCAUAUGUGCGUGCCUUGCGUGCAUGCCGGCAACUGGCCCAUGUGCUCCCACUGUGCGCGCCUCGCAGCGCCACGUGCCCGUGUCCUCGCCACUCUCCCCCGCAUUUCUCUCACUGUCCCUCCCUCUCUCCUCCCCCGCUUUCACUCCUGCCCACACCCCACGCCCCACACCCGUCCCCCUCUCACGACACACACACGCACGCACACAUGAACGGCACCGUGUGCGUGCACGCGCAACAACAACGACAACAG
rnacentral:misc_RNA from 1 species